GACGAACGCUGGCGGUGUGCUUCUUACAUGCAAGUCGAACGAGGUAGCAAUACCUAGGGGCGGACGGGUGAGUAACGCGGGGGAAUCUGCCUUUAGAUGGGGGAUAACGAGCCGAAAGGUUCGCUAAUACCGCAUAGGUCGCAAGAUUAAAGGAGUAAUCCGUCUAGAGAUGAGCCCGCGUCCAAUUAGCUAGUUGGUAGGGUAAAGGCCUACCAAGGCGACAAUCGGUAGCUGGUCUGAGAGGAUGAUCAGCCACAAUGGGACUGAGACACGGCCCAUACUCCUACGGGAGGCAGCAGGGGGGAAUUUUACGCAAUGGGCGAAAGCCUGACGUAGCGACCCCGCGUGAGCGAAGAAGCCCUUUGGGGUGUAAAGCUCUGUCGGCUGGAACGAAAAAAAUGACGGUACCAGCAAAGGAAGCAUCGGCUAACUACGUG
rnacentral:rRNA from 1 species